rnacentral:rRNA from 1 species
GAUGAACGCUGGCGGCGUGCUUAACACAUGCAAGUCGAACGGAAAGGCCCAAGCUUGUUUGGGUACUCGAGUGGCGAACGGGUGAGUAACACGUGGGUGAUCUGCCCUGCACUUCGGGAUAAGCCUGGGAAACUGGGUCUAAUACCGGAUAGGACGAUGGUUUGGAUGCCAUUGUGGAAAGUUUUUUCGGUGUGGGAUGAGCUCGCGGCCUAUCAGCUUGUUGGUGGGGUAAUGGCCUACCAAGGCGUCGACGGGUAGCCGGCCUGAGAGGGUGUACGGCCACAUUGGGACUGAGAUACGGCCCAGACUCCCACGGGGGGCAGCAGUGGGGAAUAUUGCACAAUGGGCGCCAGCCUGAUGCAGCGACGCCGCGUGGGGGAUGACGGCCUUCGGGUUGUAAACUCCUUUCGCUAGGGACGAAGCGUUUUUGUGACGGUACCUGGAGAAGAAGCACCGGCUAACUACGUG